rnacentral:piRNA from 1 species
CCAAAGGCGGAUCUCUGCAGGCAUU